rnacentral:rRNA from 1 species
UACAGAGGUCUCGAGCGUUAGGCGGAAUCACUGGGCUUAAAGCGUGUGUAGGCGGACUUCUAAGUACCUUGUGAAGUCCCACGGCUUAACCGUGGAACUGCUGGGUAUACUGGUUGUCUUGAGCCACUUAGGGGCUACCGGAACAAAUGGUGGAGCGGUGAAAUGCGUAGAUAUCGUAAGGAAGACCAGUGGCGAAGGCGGGUCUCUGGACAGUUCCUGACGCUGAGGCACGAAGGUCAGGGGAGCAAACGGG